rnacentral:rRNA from 1 species
GGUGAACGCUGGCGGCGUGCCUAACACAUGCAAGUCGAACGGAGUUAUUAUUAUGAAGUUUUCGGAUGGAUUAAUAAUAACUUAGUGGCGGACGGAUGAGUAACGCGUGGGUAACCUGCCUCAUACAGGGGGAUAGCAGUUGGAAACGGCUGCUAAAACCGCAUAACAUUGCGAUGUCGCAUGACAAUGCAAUUAAAUAUUUAUAGGUAUGAGAUGGGCCCGCGUCUGAUUAGCUAGUUGGUGGGGUAAUGGCCUACCAAGGCGACGAUCAGUAGCCUGCUUGAGAGAGUGACCGGCCACAUUGGGACUGAGACACGGCCCAAACUCCUACGGGAGGCAGCAGUGGGGAAUAUUGCACAAUGGGGGAAACCCUGAUGCAGCGACGCCGCGUGAUUGAAGAAGUAUUUCGGUAUGUAAAGCUCUAUCAGCAGGGAAGAAAAUGACGGUACCUGACUAAGAAGCCCCGGCUAACUACGUGCCAGCAGCCGCAGUAA